rnacentral:rRNA from 1 species
CCCGGGCCUUGUACACACCGCCCGUCACGUCACCUGAGUUUAGUGUACCCGAAGCCGUCCGUGCAACCGCAAGGAGCAAGACGUCUAAGGUAUGCUAGGUAAGGGGGACG